UGUUUCGGCUAGGGGGCCAUCCCGGCUUACCAACCCGAUGCAAACUGCGAAUACCGGAGAAUGUUAUCACGGGAGACACACGGCGGGUGCUAACGUCCGUCGUGAAGAGGGAAACAACCCAGACCGCCAGCUAAGGUCCCAAAGUCAUGGUUAAGUGGGAAACGAUGUGGGAAGGCCCAGACAGCCAGGAUGUUGGCUUAGAAGCAGCCAUCAUUUAAAGAAAGCGUAAUAGCUCACUGGUCGAGUCGGCCUGCGCGGAAGAUGUAACGGGGCUAAACCAUGCACCGAAGCUGCGGCAGCGAACGUAUCACCCAAGACAACUUUACGGAGUUAACGAUUGACGGAGCGAAGCGACGUCAAAGCGUUCAUUAAAGUCGAGUUGGCUUAGGGAUACGUUCGUUGGGUAGGGGAGCGUUCUGUAAGCCUGUGAAGGUGGCCUGUGAGGGUUGCUGGAGGUAUCAGAAGUGCGAAUGCUGACAUAAGUAACGAUAAAGCGGGUGAAAAGCCCGCUCGCCGGAAGACCAAGGGUUCCUGUCCAACGUUAAUCGGGGCAGGGUGAGUCGACCCCUAAGGCGAGGCCGAAAGGCGUAGUCGAUGGGAAACGGGUUAAUAUUCCCGUACUUGGUGUUACUGCGAAGGGGGGACGGAGAAGGCUAUGUUGGCCGGGCGACGGUU
rnacentral:rRNA from 1 species